GGCCACGGCAGGAUUCAGACAGCCUGAGAGGCGGGGGAUCGGCGGAUCGGGGACUCCACUCGGAGGAGCACACUUCAAAGGGAUCAGGGCCCUGAACCCAGCCGGACAAAACAGGGCAGCAUUUCUCUAGAAUCGACCUGGAGGGCGCAUUGGAAGGUUGAUGCAGCUGUUAUCCAGAAGGGCCAAGCUACAUCUGGAGCGGGACAACUUGGAAGCAUCACCCACACCCACACGGCACUGGUUUUAUCGGUAGAGGAGACACAAAGAUGAGCGGGUCAAGAAAUCUUAUGCCAACGUCCCAGAAGGCCACUGGGGCCAGGCCUGGCAAUGUGUGGCAGGAUCAGAUUCCCUGCAAUGGGGCCCCAAGGAUCCAUUCACUUCAUGAUGCUAAGAUACCAAGACCAUAGGGCAUCCACCUAAGAAAGUACAGCACAGAAGAAGCCAGACCAAAGAGAGAUAAAGGGGCCAGGGCUGGCCACAGUCCUUGGAGCACAGGAGGCUCCAUCCCAAUCCGCAGAUGUCCAAUGCAGAACCAUAAGCUUUGGUGCUCGCCAGUCUCGCUUUGACUCUAUCCUUCACUGCUAUACUCCUUUGUAUGUGGAAGUAUGUAACAUGUUUAUUGAUGUUGUACAAGCUCACAGGUAAUAGAUUCCCAUCUCAGAAACCACUCUGUGCUUACCCUUUGGAAUAGCGAUGAAACUGUUGCGGAUGGCGGGGACUUUGACGUUGAACGGAAUGCAUGUUGAAUUGUGAGCUGGCCCUGAGUCUACGGGAAAGGGGGGUGGAAAGUUAUGACUCAAAGGGGAUACUCAAAGUUUGGGUAUCAAGUUGACAACGACUAGAUGUGUAGCGGUUAAUAUUGUCCAUUUGAAAUGAUGCCGAAUUGCCUCUCUCUGGCCCUACCUGUGAGCGCGUUCGUAGACCGAGUUUAUUGAGGCAGGAAGAACCACCCUCAAGGUGGGUGGCACCAUUCAUGGGUCGGAGUCCCAGAUUGAAGAAAAUGAAUCUGAGCUGAGCCCUCUCUGGGCGUCCUGACUAUGGGUGCAAUGAGACCACUUGUCUUAAGCUUUGGUCCUUCAUGACUUCCACACUCCGGUGGACUGUACCCCCAAACUACGAGACAACCCCCGCUUCUUUGGCCCGCUUCUGCAGUAUUUACUACAGCAAUGGGGAAAAGCUAAGGCAGGGAAUCUGACUGUGGCGAGCCUUGCCCCUUCGCCAAGGCCCCUCUCUGUCUUCUCCACAGAUGCUUUAUACCACACAAUAUCUUUCGCUUCUGUCAGGCAGUCAUAAUUUGUAACGGAGCAGUUUUACCUCCCAGACGACUACAAAUAAGAUCAGGUGGCUAAAUGAAAUAACUACACUGUUUCUGCUUUGUUUUAUUGGUUUAUUGAUCUGCAGUGUCCUUUGCUGGGCUCCUGCUCUCAGCGAUCAUUUUUCUCCGAUGAUUUUUUAUUUCGGUCAUGCUGGUUUGUUAAGGAGGGUUUCUUUAAACGUAGCAAACUCUCCCCCCCCCCUUCAUCUCUCCCAGCUUCCUUGGGUGUGUGGGUAGGUGUCGCAAGACAAUCGAAAUUUAAUUGCCUGGCAUUCCGCCUUAGGGAUAGAAAAGCAGACAAUGCAUCGCUGAAGGAAUCCGGGAAAACUGGGGAAGAGCAAAGGCACUGUUCACCUGGGUGGGGGGGUGUCACAACUAGACCGGGAACUCUGUUAAUUUAGUUAACAAUAAUUGAGCCUCAUAUAAAAACAUCACGGGUGACAAUACAGGUGACAAUACUACCAUUCCACAAAGCCACAGGUAAUCCAUUGAUUUUACAGAUGAGGCCUUGACGACAAGCCACAGCCAACUAAAGCCUGAGCCACAACUAACCCUUUCUCCAGACACUUACCCCAGGACUCCUGCAUCCAUCCGUCGUUCUAAAGCCCGACAAUGGGAACCUAACAGAGAAUGAGUUAAAUUCCGCUCAGUUCUAUGAUACUUUCAGGUUUCUAGGGGUGUCUGGAAGAAAUUUACAUUUUCCAAAAGCUUUUAGACAGUUUCCGAAGCUCUUGUACCCUCCCAAUUGCUCUAAAAACAAGCAAACAAAACCUGCAAGCCUUUAACAGGAAAAGGUAUUUGAACCGCUGCCCUGCUUUUGACAUCUGUGAUACCUCUGACUUCCCUCUCCUUUUCUUAUUACUUUAAAUGUUAGCGUCGUAGCUACAAAGUGAAGUCUGUUGCUAAAUGUAUUAGCUAUUUGUUUCUGUUGCUGCGGCAAAUACCUGAGGCAAGCACCUUAGGGAAGGAGGUAGCUCCAUUCCAAGCUAAGUUAUUGUGUAACAAAGGAAAACCUGGGAGCGGGAAGAACCUUCUUCUUAGCCUUGUUAACCACAGGAUGUCUAGACCGUGACACGAAGGUCAGCAUCCUCAGCUUGAGUCUUGACAGCAAUCUUAAUGCGAAAGCUGAUCUCGGAGCCACCUGGCUCAUCUCCCCAAAUUGCUCUCCCUUACACUUAUUAUGUAAUUGUUAUCCUAAAAUAUUAACCAGACUCUCAUUUUGCUUAUGUCAUCUUGUUUAACCUCUGUUUGUUUGUUAAAGAAAAACAAACAAACAACCGUGAUAAUACCUCACAAAGCAGAAAAUCCUGUUAUAUAUAUAUAUAAAA